GUGCUCUUUUUGGCUGCACAUAGAGCAAAAUUGGAAUGAUACAGAGAAGAUUAUCAUGGUCCCUGAGCAAGGAUGACACACAAAUUCAUGAAGCAUUCAAAAAAAUCUUUUU